rnacentral:tRNA from 1 species
GAGGGUACAGCUCAAUGGGAGAGUGCAUUCUUAGCAUGCAUGAGAUCCUGGGUUCAAUCCCCAGUAUCUCCA